CCAUCUCUCAGUCGGAGGAAGUCAGUGACCAGCAAGCUUCCCAUCAAACAAGAGCUCACUUCUUGCUCCAGAAAUUUGACCAAUUUUUCACAUUUCCACCCAGCUUACAUUGAGAAGAAAGGAGCAGAACGACGUAAGGUAAAGAAAGUUGGAGAGGCCGAACGUCGAUUGAAACGGAGGAUUCGACGAGGGAAAGAUUUUUUACUCUUGAAUCGACUGCAUCCCGAAAUACACACGCCUCACGCCCAAGUUUUAAGCACCAACCGCUGAGAAAGGAAUCGAUUGUUGCUAGCGGGGGAACCGACCAGAACGCGAGGUUGCAAUUGGACAGGAUGGAGGUCAACGGAACACUCAGAUGACAGAAAGCGCUCGUCCUCCCAACGGCAAAAGUGCCCAAAGCGGAAAGGUCUAGAAAAUUUUCCAAUUUGCUCACUUUUUCCAUUGUGAAUGGACGACUUCCUGCUCAGCAGACCCACCCCGUUCACCCACAGCCAACAGCAGUCGACGAUGGCGAAGUGAAGUACCCUUCAGCUAACAGCAGCUCAUUAAAAACAGAGAAAAGCCGGUCAUGCAAAACAUGCCUCCGUCUCCUCACAUCCACGCCCACACCCACCUCAACCAUAGAUGGGGAGAUUGCGCAAAAUUCCUGCCCUCCUUCUCCCCUUGUUGGGGCUGUAGGAAUGCAGGGGUUUUGCGCAGCCAGCCCAUUUAUGACCUCAGCCGGGAUACAAUCGACUUUACCCACCACGUCAAUGCGCACGAAGGUCGUGGCCCUGUUUGCCAAACGAAGAAAACACCAGAAAAAAGAUUUGACCGAUUAUCUAUUGGUCCAUUUGAGCCGAGAGGAGCAAGCGGAGCGCUGCGUCGAACGCUGGGAAAUUAUUUCUGUCCAGACAAGUGACGCUGUGGGGCCAUCGCUGCUUUGUUGAGUCCGGGCGAUCAACCGGAAUUGUCUAAUGUUUAGAGCUAUGAAUUUCUCACUUGUUUUUAAUUCGCCCGUAUAUUCGUCGUGGGAUUGAGAUUUGCAAUGUAUUCAUUUAUUAAGCCUGACGGACCGUAAUAUUCACAUAUUUUGACUUUGUAAUAUGUAUCCGUCGCAUGUCAUGUUUUUUACAUAACAAUUUUAAGGUGAACUUUUUUAUUGUUACGAUUGAUUGCCUGACACAUUUCUUUGUUACCAUUUUUUGAAGAUGAAAAUUUUUAUUUAGUAAAACCUCCGUUUUUUUAAACACGCUUAUUUCAUAAUCUGAUUUUUACUACAGUUUAAUUUUACUUUCGUCAAAAUGCUAAUAAAAUGUACCAAUAAUGAUCAUUGCUAUUA